rnacentral:lncRNA from 1 species
AGAACCUCUGCCUGCCCCACUGGCCCUGCUGUGCACAGUGACAGCUGUGAAGCUGGGUUUACUAGUUAGGAAGAGCUGAGUUUCUGGAACCGGGACCACACUUGGCAAGGGCAUUCUUGGGUCAAGCCCUGAACACGCCCCCACCCAGACUGCCUGGCCAGCGAGGUCUGCAAAGCCUCCCCGCACGGGAGCCACUCCCUCUGACCAGCAUCUGCUGAGCAGAAGGAAAUUCCUCAACAUAGAGCGAAUGGAGUCCUUCUGGGAAAGUGUCUGACAGUGGCCCCAAUGCCAAGAUACACUGCCGAGCGGUGAGGAGGAAGGGAGUUAUGCCUGAUCGGGACUUGGUGUGGUGGCAACCAACACACAG